CAUGCAUUUUAUCAUUCUUACUUAAAAAAAAUAAAUAAAUAUUUAUUAGCAUUUCCCUUUAGCAUAUAUGCUUCAUGUAUGUUUAUAUCCCUCAUGGAAAUUAUGACUAGUUGCUUGUUAAUGUUUCUCUAGUGCCUAGUAUACAACUUAGUAUUUCUCUAAGUAUGGAUCACUUAGCUCACUUAAACUGCCAUGAACCUAAAAACUUUGUGGGUUGCAAGUGCUAGAACUAAGUCUAAGUUGUUGUGGGACAUGAGAUAGUAAGACAAGAGCUACUAUAAUAUUUUUCUAAGCAUGCAUGAUUAUCAGAGAUUUAUUCUUAAAAUGAUCAAAACCUUAAUUGUUCCUCAAUGGUGAUGAAUUCCUACCACAGCCAUAUCUACUUUACAUAAUUGCAACCUUUCCACAUAAGCUAUUUGCUUUGUGUUGAGUGUCGUCAAGUCUUGUUGACCCUUGUUAAGAGACUUUUCAUGCUCCUAAGAUCAAGAUCACGUACACACCACAUAUAUAUAUGCUGCUUCUACACUGGAAGUACGCAACCACAUGUAUUUCGCAUCCACUAAAUAGGUUGCUCCAUACUCUAAAUGAUAGAACAUCUCUCUAAGCAUUAUUUGGUAAAUGAGACAUCAAAAGGCUAGGCAAAAUGAAAUAAAAAGAUGGACAUGUGCAAGUCCACAGAAAACCUCUGAUAUGAAACUUGCUAAGAAUGAGAAAGUUAGUGCUCAAGUCAAACUGUUCUGUCUCUCAACCACCUAAGACAAAGGAAAAGCCAUAAGCCCC
rnacentral:lncRNA from 1 species